CCUACGGGCGGCUGCAGUGGGGAAUAUUGGACAAUGGGGGCAACCCUGAUCCAGCCAUGCCGCGUGUGUGAAGAGGGCCCUCGGGUUGUAAAGCACUUUCAGUGAGGAAGAACGCCUGGUGGUUAAUACCCAUCAGGAAAGACAUCACUCACAGAAGAAGCACCGGCUAACUCCGUGCCAGCAGCCGCGGUAAUACGGAGGGUGCGAGCGUUAAUCGGAAUUACUGGGCGUAAAGCGCGCGUAGGUGGCUUGAUAAGCCGGUUGUGAAAGCCCCGGGCUCAACCUGGGAACGGCAUCCGGAACUGUCAAGCUAGAGUGCAGGAGAGGAAGGUAGAAUUCCCGGUGUAGCGGUGAAAUGCGUAGAGAUCGGGAGGAAUACCAGUGGCGAAGGCGGCCUUCUGGACUGACACUGACACUGAGGUGCGAAAGCGUGGGUAGCAAACAGGAUUAGAUACCCUAGUAGUC
rnacentral:rRNA from 1 species